rnacentral:rRNA from 1 species
UACGUAGGGUGCAAGCGUUAAUCGGAAUUACUGGGCGUAAAGCGUGCGCAGGCGGUUCGUUGUGUCGGCGGUGAAAGCCCCGGGCUCAACCUGGGAAUGGCCGUUGAAACUGGCGAACUGGAGUGUGGCAGAGGGGGGUGGAAUUCCGCGUGUAGCAGUGAAAUGCGUAGAGAUGCGGAGGAACACCGAUGGCGAAGGCAGCCCCCUGGGCUGACACUGGCGCUCAGGCACGAAAGCGUGGGGAGCAAACAGG